rnacentral:lncRNA from 1 species
AUGUAUAUAUAUUCCGCUGCUAUUUUGAAAGCGGCUAUACAAUAUCAUUUUCCCUAAUCUAUACCCUUUCAUUUACCGUAAGUCCCUUGCCAUGUUAUUUCCUCUACCACAUUUAAGGAAUGAUCACAUUUAAAGAUCAAGGGAAUGGAGUUCAAAUUAAUGAAAACAAAAUUAGCCGUGAUGAUGCAUUUUGUUUUAUUUUGUUUUUUAUACCGUUGGAGUGUUGGUGGCAUACAUUUGAUCCCUUAUUUAGUUUUGUUGCAUGUGCUUGUUGAUACAAUUUUUAUGUUAUAAAUGG